AAUUUGUGAUAUCCAGAUUUUAUAUGCAGCAACUUUAUUGUUGCACUAAGACCUACCCUCUUAAAAAUUAAUAUUCUAUAUUUAUAAUAUAAUUUGAUAUAAUUUUUUUCCAAUAUGCUCAUAACAAUCCACCCUCUCACCAUAGAGUUACCGAUUUGUGAUACUACUAGGGCUAAAUAAAUCACCCCAGUGCAAUUGAUACCUGGUCAUAACCCAAAGACCAUGUUCGGUACCGAACUGAUUAUGUCCGAGAGUAAUUGCUGGC
rnacentral:lncRNA from 1 species